UCGGUCAAUCCAGACAAAUUCUAAGAGUUGUGCCGAAGCUUUUAAGCUGUAAUUGAGGACAGGAUGCCCAGGAAAACCAAAGCCAGCACUGCACAGACCUGGGUUUUUAUAGCUGCUAUAGUAUUCUUGUGCGCCUUUCCCCUCAAGCCAGACAGACACCACAAAACCGGUCAAGCGUGAUAGGAAGUCGCCACCUACACUGACUCAAAGUCAGCAGCUGGGGAAUUUCAGCAACAUAGAAACAUGUGUACACAGCUAAGGUGACAGAAACGAGGGCGAUGACAGAGGGGCCUGGCGGACCACACAAGGGCUACAGAGCGAAACUGACCAACUCCACGGUCAACGGGAGCGCCUCCGGCUAGUCAGGGGAGAAUCACAAGGCUGGAUUAGCCUGCAGAGGGUGUCCUGAGAAACAAGGCGCCAGGAGGAGCGGGACUAGACAAAAGGACAUAAAGUGGACUGUAGUGGGGGGAAUAAACGAACAUUUACAAAGGGGAUCAUUUGAAAGAAUAACAAGGAAUACGAGAAAGAACCAAGACGCGAGUAAAGGGAAAUUAAAGGAUUUCAUCUUCAUUAAAAAAAAAAAAAAAACACCACACAAAGUACAAAAUAGAAUACUGAAAUAGAAAAUUCAAUAUUCCUUACAUUAAAAGCAUUCGGCAACUAAA